UGUAAGCGUAUACCAAAGUUGUUGCAGUUAAAACGCUCGUAGUCGGAAUUUGGCAGUUCCGGAUGUGUGCACGUCGUGUGCGCACUUCGCGGGGAUUGCUUUUGUGGUCUUGCGUAGGAUGAGGCACUUUUAUUAGUGAACGUCCUCACGCAACCACUUUUUACUGUGAGAAAAUCAGAGUGCUCAAAGCAGGCAGUUGCCGUGAAUGUAUUAGCAUGGAAUAAUAGAAUAGGACUUGGUUCUAUUUUGUUGGUUUGUUGGGACUGAGUAAUGAUUAAGAGGGACAGUUGGGGGCAUUUGUAUUUCGGUGCUAGAGGUGAAAUUCUUAGAUUACCGAAAGACAAACUGCUGCGAAAGCGUCUGCCAAGGAUGUUUUCAUUGA
rnacentral:rRNA from 1 species